rnacentral:rRNA from 1 species
AUGUCCGCCGGACCGACGACGGCCAGGACAACGUCCGGCGUCCAGCGCUGGAACGAGGAGCUCGACCAGGCUGAGCUGGGCGUCCAACCGGACAAGGCAGCAGUCCACGCCGGCGAGUGCGUGCAUGGCCCACCCCUCCGCCCACGGCGAUGGGGCUCCCGGCUGCGCAGCCGCAGCGUGGAGCAUCCGCGCGUAUGUGUAUGCGUCAGCGGCCACCCUACACGCUGCAUCUUCAUGAAUACGCCUAUUAAAUCCAGACUUGCAGCAAGGCGUCGCCGCGGUACGACCCAUCACGCCCUCUGCAUCCAAUCUCUCUUUCUAACAUCUAAGUGCAUCAGCAGGUUUGAGCAGAGAAUCUAG